rnacentral:rRNA from 1 species
GUGCCAAGCAGCCGCGGUAAUUCCAGCUCCAAUAGCGUAUAUUAAAGUUGUUGCGGUUAAAAAGCUCGUAGUUGGAUCUCGGCGGGCAGGGGGUGGUUCGCUCUUCAGCGCUACUGCCCCGCUUUGCCCGUGUGAUUGGCGGAGGUUUCGGGGUGCUCUUCGUUGAGUGACUCGGAGCGCCGCCAGGUUUACUUUGAAAAAAUUAGAGUGCUCAAAGCAGGCUUUUCACGCUUGAAUAUUCGUGCAUGGAAUAAUGGAAUAGGAACUCGUUUCUAUUUUGUUGGUUUUCGGAAAUCGAGUUAAUGAUUAACAGGGACAAUUGGGGGCAUUAGUAUUCAGACGACAGAGGUGAAAUUCUUGGACCGUCUGAAGACUGACUACUGCGAAAGCAUUUGCCAAGAGUGUUUUCAUUAAUCAAGAACGAAAGUUAGAGGUUCGAAGGCGAUCAGAUACCGCCCUAGUUCUAACCAUAAACGAUGCCAGCUAGCGAUCUGCCGAGUUUUUUUUGUAGGCUCCGCAGGAAGCUUUCGGGAAACCAAAGCUUUUGGGUUCCGGGGGAAGUAUGGUUGCAAAGCUGAAACUUAAAGGAAUUGACGGAAGGGCACCACCAGGAGUGGAGCCUGCGGCUUAAUUUGACUCAACACGGGAAAUCUCACCAGGCCCGGACACUGGAAGGAUUGACAGAUUGAGAGCUCUUUCUCGAUUCGGUGGGUGGUGGUGCAUGGCCGUUCUUAGUUGGUGGAGUGAUUUGUCUGGUUAAUUCCGAUAACGAACGAGACUCUGUCCUGCUAAAUAGUUGGGUCGUCCUUCGUGCGAUCCAAGUUCUUCUUAGAGGGACUGGCUGCGUCUAGCAGCACGAGAUUGAGCAAUAACAGGUCUGUGAUGC